UUUUUGUUUUGUAAUUUCGGCCAAAAAAGAAAUGUAUUUUAAUAAGAAUAUCGAAAUAAAUAUCUGACUGUAAUUAGUUUCGUGGUUAAUGGAACUUAUUGCAACUAUUUAGAUAUGUAUGCCUUUCGAGUGACUAUUUUUGGAUCGAAUUUAAUGUAGAUCAUGUAUACAAAAAUUAAAGGGGGGUAAGCUGCAGAUCAAUAAGACUUUGUGUAGAUGCGACAUGUCUUAAACAAAAUACAGUAGAAAAAAACUUGGAAGGGGGAGGGAAAGUUAAAGAUUGAAAAGUGGAAGCAUUUUUU
rnacentral:lncRNA from 1 species